rnacentral:lncRNA from 1 species
AUAGUAUUCACCGCAUCGCACGCUCGUCUUGGAUCCAAGUAGAUGCUAGUCGUACAGUCCACGCGGAGUGGGUACGACAGGCCAGUCGCGAGAGUGUUAGUGAGAUUCCGACUGGUGGGUGACCUUAGAUUAUGUGCACAGAUGAUUUAUGAGAAGCACUAGAGCGUAACUUGUGUGCAGAAGGCCGUACAGGUCACGCGGAGUGACUCCGGCAGAGUGUGAGAGUGAUAGAUUUUGAGCUCUAGGUUCAACCGGGCUAAUAGAGGGCCUCCGGUUGAUUAUCUUAUUGCACCUGAUAUGAUUUAUGUUGAUGCAUUCAUACCUUAUUACUGUUGAGAUGAUGUGGCAUGGCAUAAUUAAUAUGAGAAAUGUUGAGAUGAUGUGGCAUGGCAUAAUUAUGAUGAAAAUGUUGAGUUAAUGAAUUGAAGUAUUGAGAAUAUAUAUAUGUAUAUUUAUAUUUUAUAUUUCUGGGAAAGUAUACAGGUUUUACGGAGAGGGGUUACAACGUUUUGAGAAAUGUUUGGAUUUGGAAAAGAAUUGUUUUACUGACCCACUCAAUUUUGGUUUUGCGCCCCUCCAGGUUCAGGAAUCAUAAAGGUGUGGUGACUACGAGGAAAUUGACGGUGUUCUGACAGAUUGGACAAAAUUAGGACUCACCUUCGGGUGUAUCAACUUAUAAAUUGUAUCUUAAAGCUUCCGUACUGUGCAAAUGGUUACGUCACUCUCACGUGACGGCCAGCAUGCCCUCCUUCGGGACGGGGUGUGUCAGUUGGUAUCAGAGCAUGGUUGCAAUCUUGGACAUCUUGAGAAGUUCUAGUGAAUUCUGUCAGAACUACACCGCCUCGUAGUAAGCCACUUAGUUAGAGGAAUUUAGUCUCCCUAAUAUAGCGGUUUAGGGGAAACUAUUAUUAUGGUGAUUCAGUCUAUUAUAAAAAGGGACAUUUUAAGACGGGUUAUGAGUCGAAUUUGAAUCACCUUAUGGAAUGAUGAACCUGAGGGAGCGAAGUAACGGUUUAACCAUUUGGAAAAGAUGUUUCAGAUUAUGCAAGUUAAAGGAAAUUUCCUUCUGACAAGGGGUCGAGACGACUACCUGGUUUUGGGUAUGAAUUUGUAUCCUGGUGGAAACAGGAGUAUGAUUUGUUGUCACCGGAGGAACAGUCGAUUGAGAAUUGUUUAAGGACUUGUUUAAGGAAAAGUUUAUCCCUCCGGCAUUUAUCGAUGGUAGUAAGCAAGAGUUUGCAAAUGUGAAUCAAGGAAGUUGACGAUAAAUGAAUAUUAUAGAAAGUUUUCAGACUUGCCUCGUUCCAUCCAGAUAUUUGAGACAAGGUGUCUCGAGUAAAGGAAAUGUACCUUGUGCAGCAGGUACAAAAUUAACACUUUGAGAAAUGUGAAAUUAAUGAAUGUGUUUAUGUGGAUAGAGGGGACGCAGAAUUGUGAAUUGUCCCUAGAAUCAGUUGUACUCAACAAUUUUCCAUGAUAUCAUAGUGUCGAUUCAGCAGAGUUAUGGACUUAGUAGUUUGGUCGGAUUGACCGUGAGUACAGAGAGAUUUGAUGAGUUAUAUGUUCAGCCGUACAGACCAUGAGAAAUGGAUUCGACUGACACAUGAGAAAUUGGUGAGUUAUAGGUUCGGCCGUACCGACCACGCGGAGUGGAUCCGGCCGACGUAUUAUUGAGAUAAGAGUUGAAUCAGCCGUAUUGAUCAUUCUAGUUGACUUCGGCUGAUAUAUUUCUUAUUAUGUAUGUUAUAUCUUUGAGAGUGGUUGCCUACUUAUCGAGACAACGAUGAUUUAUUAGUAUUGCGGGCUGCAGACCGUAAUAUUAAUACUCAUUCGUGGAUUCGUUAAGCAAGCAACCCGGUAGAUUAUUUUAUGUUAGUAUUGUACUUAUUCAGAAUGUUCAGUAAUAAUAAAGUAUGUAUUGGGUCAGUUAAUUUUAUUCCAUUAGAUUGAUUGUUUAUAGUUGUGACUAGAUGGAAUGUUACGAGAAACCAGUUACUUUCCAUCGAGUUGAUUAAUUAGAGGUUACUUUGGUGGGGCAUACAAAGUGAAAUGAGUUCAGCCAUUAUUUAUGCUGUGAAAGCAAAGAUAUUGUUUUGAAAGGCUGCCCAAACAUACUUAGUUCAUGUGGUGCUAAAUGAUGUUGUUUGGAGUAGUGUGAAUAAUGUCGAAAGGGUUAGACUUUUCUUGAUGUCUUCCCUGAAAGUAUACCUGGAUUGCCUUCAGGCAGAGAUAUGAGAUUCACUAUUGAUUUGUUGCCAGGUAUAAAUUUAUGUUAAAGAUUGGUUCAUGAUGAGUUAAGGGAAUUGGAAAUUCAGUUGAAAGAAUUGGUUGAUAAAAGUUUUAUUCAACCUAGUACAACGCUUUGGGGGAGCCCCAGUUCGUUGGUGAGGAAGAAAAUGGAUUUUAAGACUGUUCAUUGAUUAUAGACAAUGGAGUCGGGUAACGAUUAAGAACCGUUAUCCAUGGUGAUGUACUGAUGUUUAUUUAACCAGCUCAGAAGUAAUUGCGAAGAUUCAAAGAUUGAAUUGAGAUCUGGUUACUACCAAUUGAAUAUUAUAAGUGACGUUGAUCAUAAGAUGGUUUUCUGGACUUGUUAUGGUCCUUAUGAAGUUUGGUGAUGCUAUGUGGAUACUCAUGCUGUUUUAUGAGUUGAUGGAUGAAGUAUUCCAAUAAUGCCUUGAUAAAUUGAUAUCAUUCUUAUUGAAGAUAUUCUGGCAUAUUCUGAGCCAGAGCAGAGCAUGUAAACGUAUUAAGUCGGUGAAGCAAAGAUUGAGAGAACGUUGGUUGUAUGCUAAGUAGCAAAUGCUAAAGUUAGAUGAAUCAGGUGGCAUUCUGAGAUUUGUUAUAUAUUCUUAAGGUAUUUAAGUGAAUCCUUAAAAGAUAGCAGAAAUUGAGAAUUUGGAACAACCACGAGUCGUAAUUGAGAUUUGGAAUUUCUUAACUUACCAGGCUAUCUUGGAUGGUUGUGAAAGAGUUUUAGUCAUUGCUUUGUCAUUGACGAGACUGUUGAGAAAGGAGGUUAUGUAUGAGUAGGAAGGAAAUUGUGAGUAAAGGAUUCAACAACUGAAGUAUUUCCUCACUCAUGCACGUAUUUUAGUAAUCCCAGAGAAUAGUGGUAAUCAUAAAUUUUUAGUGAUGUUUCUUGAAUGGUAUUGGAGGCAUGUUGAUGCAAAUGUUAGGGUGAUUGCAUACAUUUCACGAUAAUGGAACCUCAUGAGAUGAAUUACCCUACGGGUGACUUAGAAGUCAUGAUUACCAUUCUUGCUGUGAAGUUAUGAAGGCAUUAUAUUUGGUAAGAAUGCAAGAUUUUACGAAUCCAAAAGUCUUCAAUAUUCAUUACUUGGAAAGAUUUUGAUAUAAGGCAGCGAAAGUGAAUUGUAUUGUUAAAUGAAUAUGAUUGUACGAUCAGGGUGAUCGUGAAUUGUUGUAGCUGAUACACUUGGUGAAAAGAUUGCAGUAAGAUUAAUGUCAGGCACGCUUGCCAAGAUUAUCUUCUCGUGGAUUGAAAAUCAAUUAAAGUAAAGUUAAGAAUGAAAGAUCGAGAAGAAGUUAUACUUGUUAAUUUUCAAGUUAGGCCUGUUUGGUAAGGUCGUACUCGAAAUAUAAAUGUUUGACGAGGAAAUUUAAGAAUUAACCAAGGCAGAGAAAGAAGGGAAAAAGAAUGAGUACAUGAUUCGUGAAUCAAAUGGUAUGUGGAUACAAGAAAACAAAAAGUAUGUGCCUAAUGUUGAGGAUUUGAAGCAAGCAAAUAUUGGACGAAGUUCACUGUUCAACUUCUGCAAUAUUCCAAAAGUAAUAAGAUUUAUCAUACCAUUCGACAGUUUUAUUUGGUCAGCAGAUUGAGGCAGAAAAAGAUAAACCUUUGGAUUGAGAUAACUAUUUUCUGUUUCGCAGUGGAAAUGGAAAGAUAUUACUUUGGAUUAUGUGUACAAGUUUCCUUGUACAUAGGAUGGUUAUGAUUGAAUUUGAAGCGAUAGUUGGUCAAUGUACCAAGUUAGUACAUUUACUCCAGGGUUGAGUAACGGUACUUAUUUGUUUUAUAGAAAGAAGAAUUGGUUUACGGAACUGCUAAGUUUCUUAAGUAUGUUGGUUGCGCAGUUUCCGAAGUGAAGCCAUAAGGUUCAUGAAGUGUGUCAUGUGUGUAUUUUGUUGACUUGUGAAUGGAAUAUUUCUGGGUAGAGAAAGAUUCGAUCAAGAAAGAGUUUUUGUAAACCCUGAGACUAUGGAUGAGUCUCCUCAAAGUAUUCAGGUGAUUAAGUUAACCUGAAGAAACCAGGAAUGGCAAAAGAGAUCAACAGAUGAAUAUACCACUAAUCGAGUGUAUAACGUAGAUGAUUUUAUAUUUUUGGAAAUUUCACCAUGAAAAGAAAUAGCAAGAUUUGGAAAGGAAGACAAGAUAAGUCUUAGACACAUCAGAUCGAUUUGAUCACUAAAGGAAUCGAUGAAGUUGCAUACAAGUGGUGAUGUCUUCAGAGUUGGCUAAGGUACUUAAUGUAUUUUGGGUUCGAUACGUUGUCACUAGGUGACAAAUUCGUCACAUGAGAUCCUGAUGCAACUAUUGAGAGUUAAAUUGCAUUCGACUUGAUAAGGAACCAAGGAUGACUUUGGAUUGGAAAAAGAAGGUCCUGAGAAUUAAGACAGAGUAAGUGGUAAAAGCUUUGUGAAGGAAAUCAUUCAGUGGAAAAUUAUGUGGGAGGAAAAGAAUCGGAUGAGAGAUUUUUAACCGAAGCUAUUGUUGGAGUAUGGUUGAUUUAGUUGGUUGCUGGAAUUUCGGGGACGAAAUUCUAUAAGGAGGGAAGAUUGUCACAGCCCGUCCCGGAAUUUUAAUUCCGAGGACGUGAAAAGACCAAAAUGCCCUUAAGCGGGACUAAGGGGCGAAAAUUUAACAAUUAGAUUUAUAUUUGUAUGUGUUAAAUUGUGUUUGGACUUAGGUAGGGCCUCCUACCCUCAAAACAUUCCCUAAAACCCGUAACCUUUCCUUCUCUCUCUUUUUCUUCUUUCAUCUCAGAAAACUCUCUCUCUCUCUCUUACUCUCGAACUCACGGCAACCACCAAGAACCACCACAAUCUUGUACGAACGUUCCAUUUAAGACCACCAUCGUGAUCCUGAGGACUUCACGAGCUCGGGGAUACCAAACUCAGGUGAGUUUCACUUCGGAAAACCCUAGUUUCAGUGUCACCGUAAUAUUGCACUGUUCACGAACUUCAAAUUGGCUUUGUUUUAGGCCAAACCAAGCUCACAGUGAGCUUAAGGAAGUCCCAAGGAAGCUCGGAGUGCUUCGUUGGAAGUUUUUGGACGUAAGAACACGGAGAUCGACAAGUUCAAAGUUUGGCCGGAGCUUUCGAGGCUCUUUCCGGCGAAUCCCCGGCGAGUUAGGAGUUGAGGUAGGUAUCAAUCUCUUCGUCUCGUCAAGUACUACAACUUUCCUUUUUGUUUCACUCAAUUUCGUUGAGUAUUGAAGAAGUUAUACUCAUUUGAAAAAUACCCAGUUUCCGGCGACCUCCGAGGCUUUCGAGGCAGUUUCCGGCCAAACCACGGCGAACUAGGUGUUGUGAAAGGUACCAUUCUCUUUGUCUCUUCAAGGGCUACAACUUUCGUUUUUGAAUCACUUGAUUUCGUUGAGAAAUGACAAAGUUAUGGCAAUUUGAAAAACUGCCCAGUAAACGGCCGCCGGAAAAACCAGUCUGGCGACCCAAGGAAGAAGAUGAUGCGCGUGGGGGCGCGUGGGCCGUGCUUGUCUUGGCGCGUGGGGCGCGUGCUAAAGUAAAAAAUUAUUUUAAAAAUAUGUCGACGUCCGUGACGUCGAGUAGAUCACUGUGGUAUAUUCAUAUACCCAAUUUGAGCAAUAUAUGAGGAGUUAUUAGCUAAGAGUGGGAUUAUGCGUUAAAUAACGUCAAUUUGGUUACUUCUCGUAUAGGCGAGGAUUAUACGGACGUUGGGCAUGGCUAAGGGAGGCUCAGGGACCUUCGACACGUCGAUGUAAUCUGUGAGUGGGCAGUUUUGUAUUCCGUAUAUAUAUAUACUUGACGUUUCCCAGAAAUUGAAUUGAAAUGAAAAUAUGUUUAAAAUGAAAUGCAUAUGAGUUAUGUGGAAAAACGGGAAGUGAAAUACCAUGCAUAGAAUUGAUAUGAAAAGUAUAUAGAAAUGUGAGUUGAAAUGCCAUGCAUGAAUUAAUAUAUGAUGCAUAUGUAUGAAUUGGUGCGGUGGACGCACAGGUAAGAAUUGAUUUAUGAUGCAUAUAUAUGAAUUGGUGCGGUGGACGCACAGGUAAGAAUUGAUUUAUGAUGCAUAUGUAUGAAAUGGUGCGGUGGACGCACAGGUGAGUAUUUAUUUCUGUUAUGAUGAUGUUGAUGUAUAUUGAGCUCAAAUCCUGCACCAUAGUUUAGUGCUUAUAGUAUUCACCGCAUCGCACGCUCGUCUUGGAUCCAAGUAGAUGCUAGUCGUACAGUCCACGCGGAGUGGGUACGACAGGCCAGUCGCGAGAGUGUUAGUGAGAUUCCGACUGGUGGGUGACCUUAGAUUAUGUGCACAGAUGAUUUAUGAGAAGCACUAGAGCGUAACUUGUGUGCAGAAGGCCGUACAGGUCACGCGGAGUGACUCCGGCAGAGUGUGAGAGUGAUAGAUUUUGAGCUCUAGGUUCAACCGGGCUAAUAGAGGGCCUCCGGUUGAUUAUCUUAUUGCACCUGAUAUGAUUUAUGUUGAUGCAUUCAUACCUUAUUACUGUUGAGAUGAUGUGGCAUGGCAUAAUUUAUAUGAGAAAUGUUGAGAUGAUGUGGCAUGGCAUAAUUAUGAUGAAAAUGUUGAGUUAAUGAAUUGAAGUAUUGAGAAUAUAUAUAUGUAUAUUUAUAUUUUAUAUUUCUGGGAAAGUAUACAGGUUUUACGGAGAGGGGUUACAACGUUUUGAGAAAUGUUUGGAUUUGGAAAAGAAUUGUUUUACUGACCCACUCAAUUUUGGUUUUGCGCCCCUCCAGGUUCAGGAAUCAUAAAGGUGUGGUGACUACGAGGAAAUUGACGGUGUUCUGACAGAUUGGACAAAAUUAGGACUCACC